AGUGAACGCUGGCGGUAGGCCUAACACAUGCAAGUCGAACGGCAGCACAGUAAGAGCUUGCUCUUACGGGUGGCGAGUGGCGGGCGGGUGAGGAAUACAUCGGAAUCUACUUUUUCGUGGGGGAUAACGUAGGGAAACUUACGCUAAUACCGCAUACGACCUACGGGUGAAAGCAGGGGAUCUUCGGACCUUGCGCGAUUGAAUGAGCCGAUGUCGGAUUAGCUAGUUGGCGGGGUAAAGGCCCACCAAGGCGACGAUCCGUAGCUGGUCUGAGAGGAUGAUCAGCCACACUGGAACUGAGACACGGUCCAGACUCCUACGGGAGGCAGCAGUGGGGAAUAUUGGACAAUGGGCGCAAGCCUGAUCCAGCCAUACCGCGUGGGUGAAGGAGGCCUUCGGGUUGUAAAGCCGUUUUGUUGGGAAAGAAAAGCAGCAGGUUAAUACGCCGCUGGUCUGACGGUACCCAAAGAAUAAGCACCGGCUAACUUCGUG
rnacentral:rRNA from 1 species